GUGGGGAAUCUUGCGCAAUGGGCGAAAGCCUGACGCAGCCAUGCCGCGUGAAUGAUGAAGGUCUUAGGAUUGUAAAAUUCUUUCACCGGGGACGAUAAUGACGGUACCCGGAGAAGAAGCCCCGGCUAACUUCGUGCCAGCAGCCGCGGUAAUACGAAGGGGGCUAGCGUUGCUCGGAAUUACUGGGCGUAAAGGGCGCGUAGGCGGACAGUUUAGUCAGAGGUGAAAGCCCAGGGCUCAACCUUGGAAUUGCCUUUGAUACUGGCUGUCUUGAGUACGGGAGAGGCGAGUGGAAUUCCGAGUGUAGAGGUGAAAUUCGUAGAUAUUCGGAAGAACACCAGUGGCGAAGGCGACUCGCUGGACAGGUAUUGACGCUGAGGUGCGAAAGCGUGGGGAGCAAACAGGAUUGGAUACCCGUGUAGUCC
rnacentral:rRNA from 1 species